rnacentral:lncRNA from 1 species
AAAUUUCACGCAAUUAAAAAAAAAUUUUGAUAUAAAAAAAAAGGUGUUUCGAGUUUGUAAGUUUGGGAUUCUCUUCUAUUCAUCUUCUAAGCCACACUUAGCCUAAAGCCUUUCUUGUUUCUUCUAGCCUACCCGUAACCUAACAUCAAUCCCUUGUAAAGCCAUUUGAAGCUGACCCAUUGAACUACGAUAAGGUCACGAUGAGUCGCUUACGAAAUCACGAGAGAAAAUUGAGUGGAAAAAAGCACGAGUGUUGAGAGAGCA